GAUGAACGCUGGCGGCGUGCCUAAUACAUGCAAGUCGAGCGAACAGACGAGGAGCUUGCUCCUCUGACGUUAGCGGCGGACGUGUGAGUAACACGUGGAUAACCUCCCUAUAAGACUGGGAUAACUUCGGGAAACCGGAGCUAAUACCGGAUAAUAUCUUGAACCGCAUGGUUCAAUAGUGAAAGACGGUUUUGCUGUCACUUAUAGAUGGAUCCGCGCCGCAUUAGCUAGUUGGUAAGGUAACGGCUUACCAAGGCAACGAUGCGUAGCCGACCUGAGAGGGGGAUCGGCCACACGGGAACUGAGACACGGUCCAGACUCCUACGGGAGGCAGCAGUAGGGAAUCUUCCGCAAUGGGCGAAAGCCUGACGGAGCAACGCCGCGUGAGUGAUGAAGGUCUUCGGAUCGUAAAACUCUGUUAUUAGGGAAGAACAAAUGUGUAAGUAACUAUGCACGGCUUGACGGUACCUAAUCAGAAAGCCACGGCUAACUACGUG
rnacentral:rRNA from 1 species